GAGGAAUAUUGGUCAAUGGACGCAAGUCUGAACCAGCCAUGCCGCGUGCAGGAUGACGGCCCUAUGGGUUGUAAACUGCUUUUAUUCGGGAAGAAACCUUUGCUCGUGAGCGAAGCUGACGGUACUGAAUGAAUAAGCAUCGGCUAACUCCGUGCCAGCAGCCGCGGUAAUACGGAGGAUGCAAGCGUUAUCCGGAUUUAUUGGGUUUAAAGGGUGCGUAGGCGGAAAAAUAAGUCAGUGGUGAAAGCCUGCAGCUCAACUGUAGAAUUGCCAUUGAUGCUGUCUUUCUUGAGUACAUGUGAAGUGGGCGGAAUGUGUUGUGUAGCGGUGAAAUGCAUAGAUAUGACACAGAACACCAAUUGCGAAAGCAGCUCACUAAGUUGUCACUGACGCUGAGGCACGAAAGCGUGGGUAGCAAAC
rnacentral:rRNA from 1 species